rnacentral:lncRNA from 1 species
CUCCAAGAAGGCGCAACUGACCUAAGCUGGGAGGCUCAAGAAGGCUUCCUGGAGGAGGCGGUACCUCCCAGGUGGAGCUUGAAAGCAAACAGGAAAGUUAAGGUUUGGGGUUGCUAGCCCGCUGCGUUCCUCUGCAUGCGCCCCUUGCAGGGCAAAUUCCCCUGGGGACUCUGUCCCUUCCAAGAGAGUGAUCGAGAAAAACAGCUUUUCUGAGAUUCGACCUGGGUGUCCCACGCCGGGAGGAUGAACAGGGCCACGUUCGCCAUCGCAGCAAGAACCCUGGAAAGAGCGUGCAUAUAUUGUAGCCUUGGUUCGCUUUUCCCUGGACUUCCGAACUCACCCUCCAUUCCCGGAGCAGUGACUAAGUACCCGGACCCCCUCAGGGACUCCAUCCAGGGGAUGUUCUAAGGACCACAGCCCUUGGAACUGGAUGGACUUUUUAGAAAUGAGUGCCAAAGGAAGUGGAAACCAGUUUAAAUUGGUGUGUAGCUGAAAGCUAAAAUCCACCCCCGCCCCAAAAAACCCCCCCGCUUCCUCUUUUUAUUACAAAUAAAUCUGCC